GACGAACGCUGGCGGCGUGCUUAACACAUGCAAGUCGAACGGAAAGGCCCUGCUUGCAGGGUACUCGAGUGGCGAACGGGUGAGUAACACGUGGGUGAUCUGCCCUGCACUUCGGGAUAAGCCUGGGAAACUGGGUCUAAUACCGGAUAGGAGCCAUUUUUAGUGUGAUGGUUGGAAAGUUUUUUCGGUGUAGGAUGAGCUCGCGGCCUAUCAGCUUGUUGGUGGGGUAAUGGCCUACCAAGGCGGCGACGGGUAGCCGGCCUGAGAGGGUGGACGGCCACAUUGGGACUGAGAUACGGCCCAGACUCCUACGGGAGGCAGCAGUGGGGAAUAUUGCACAAUGGGCGCAAGCCUGAUGCAGCGACGCCGCGUGGGGGAUGACGGCCUUCGUGUUGUAAACUCCUUUCGCUAGGGACGAAGCUUUUGUGACGGUACCUAGAUAAGAAGCACCGGCUAACUACGUG
rnacentral:rRNA from 1 species